UCAGUGACAGGGUGCCCUAACCCCCCUCCCACCUCAGCCCCAUGACAAGACAUUAGCCCUUCUCCUGGGCUCAUGCACAGCAAAGGACUCUGUGCUCAAAGUCUUCCGGAGGAAACUGUGCGGCCUUGCUCAAGAAGAAGCCUUUCUUGGAAGAAAAAACAGCUGCCCAGCAAUACAGGUGUCCUGGGUGGAAGAGGCGAUUCUUCUGGCAGCCUGUUCUUGGAGUACGUUGACAGCCGUCAGCCACAACUGGUGAAUGCUAGCUUCACUAGGCUUGAAGAGAUGUAGGUGCAAUUUCCUAUUCAGAGCCAGCAGUAAGGACGGAGCUCUUCCUGAGGGCAGCCACGCUUGAGUCCUAUUUGCUAGCGGUGAGAACUAUGUCCCUGCUGAUGAUGAUAAGUGUGACCUCUGCGGGUAACGCAGCGCUGCCUGGCACCAUUCUGGGUCAAAAACCAACCCAGGGAGCUGUACUCCGGUCACAGAAUCACAGAACGACCAAGGUUGGAAGGGACCUCUGGAGAUCAUCUAGUCCAAUUCCCCUGGCUC